rnacentral:rRNA from 1 species
ACGUUACCAAACUGUUGCCUCGGCGGGAUCUUCUGCCCCGGGUGCGUCGCAGCCCCGGACCAAGGCGCCCGCCGGAGGAAUCAACUAAAACUCUUAUUGUAUACCCCCUCGCGGGUUUUUUUUAUAAUCUGAGCCUUCUCGGCGCCUCUCGUAGGCGUUUCGAAAAUGAAUCAAAACUUUCAACAACGGAUCUCUUGGUUCUGGCAUCGAUGAAGAACGCAGCGAAAUGCGAUAAGUAAUGUGAAUUGCAGAAUUCAGUGAAUCAUCGAAUCUUUGAACGCACAUUGCGCCCGCCAGUAUUCUGGCGGGCAUGCCUGUCCGAGCGUCAUUUCAACCCUCGAACCCCUCCGGGGGGUCGGCGUUGGGGAUCGGCCUUCCUUCACGGGGGCCGUCUCCGAAAUACAGUGGCGGUCUCGCCGCAGCCUCUCCUGCGCAGUAGUUUGCACACUCGCAUCGGGAGCGCGGCGCGUCCACAGCCGUUAAACACCCAACUUUCUGAAAUGUUGACCUCGGAUCAGGUAGGAAUACCCGCUGAACUUA